rnacentral:rRNA from 1 species
UGGGGAAUUUUGGACAAUGGGCGAAAGCCUGAUCCAGCAAUGCCGCGUGUGUGAAGAAGGCCUUCGGGUUGUAAAGCACUUUUGUCCGGAAAGAAAUCCUUGGCUCUAAUACAGUCGGGGGAUGACGGUACCGGAAGAAUAAGCACCGGCUAACUACGUGCCAGCAGCCGCGGUAAUACGUAGGGUGCAAGCGUUAAUCGGAAUUACUGGGCGUAAAGCGUGCGCAGGCGGUUUGCUAAGACCGAUGUGAAAUCCCCGGGCUCAACCUGGGAACUGCAUUGGUGACUGGGCAGGCUAGAGUAUGGCAGAGGGGGGUAGAAUUCCACGUGUAGCAGUGAAAUGCGUAGAGAUGUGGAGGAAUACCGAUGGCGAAGGCAGCCCCCUGGGCCAAUACUGACGCUCAUGCA